UGCCAGCAGCCGCGGUAAUACGGAGGGGGUUAGUGUUGUUCGGAAUUACUGGGCGUAAAGCGCGCGUAGGCGGAUUAGUCAGUCAGAGGUGAAAUCCCAGGGCUCAACCCUGGAACUGCCUUUGAUACUGCUAGUCUUGAGUUCGAGAGAGGUGAGUGGAAUUCCGAGUGUAGAGGUGAAAUUCGUAGAUAUUCGGAGGAACACCAGUGGCGAAGGCGGCUUUCUGGACCGAUACUGACGCUGAGACGCGAAAGCGUGGGGAGCAAACAGGAUUAGAUA
rnacentral:rRNA from 1 species